rnacentral:lncRNA from 1 species
UGAAAUCAAGAAAAAGGGUUAUAAUUUUUCUCAAUCCAAACUCAUCUUUCUCAAUUCAAGAAUGAAAUUGAGGAAAAAUUUUAAGGUUUGCUUAAAUUCCACUUUUAUUCUAUUUCAAUUACUACAUACAAAAGUUUGAGUAUUGAUUUCUUGUUACCUUCCUAGUACUCCAUCAGUUUCUCUCUCUUUGAUUUUUUAUAUAUUUUUUGAGUUUUUGCAUUGUAUUUGAUUCUAAACGGUGUUGAAUUUGUUGUUGGUUUUAGAUGUGGCCAAACCUUAUUCAAAAAUUGGAGGACUUUAUGUCAUCGAAACUAUGUUUCUGAACUUACAUGAACCAGUUAACCAGUUAAAGGUCAGAUUUUGUUUUCUUAAUUUGUUCUAUCAUAUUCUGACCGUUUUCUUUCAUAUUCCUAAGCCUUUCAGCAUUGCAUUGGUAAUGUUUGAAGGAAAAGUCUGCAUUGCUUGCAGCUUUAAUUAGUAGUUAUAAGAAAAGAAAACAAGUGUGU